GACGAACGCUGGCGGCGUGCUUAACACAUGCAAGUCGAACGGAAAGGCCCUGCUUUUGUGGGGUGCUCGAGUGGCGAACGGGUGAGUAACACGUGAGUAACCUGCCCUUGACUUUGGGAUAACUUCAGGAAACUGGGGCUAAUACCGGAGAGGAGCUCCUGCUGCAUGGUGGGGGUUGGAAAGUUUCGGCGGUUGGGGCUGGACUCGCGGCUUAUCAGCUUGUUGGUGGGGUAGUGGCUUACCAAGGCUUUGACGGGUAGCCGGCCUGAGAGGGUGACCGGCCACAUUGGGACUGAGAUAAGGACCAGACUCCUACGGGACGCAGUAGUGGGGAAUAUUGCACAAUGGGCGGACGCGUGAUGCAGCAACGCCGCGUGCGGGAUGACGGCCUUCGGGUUGUAAACAGCUUUCGAAUGUGACGAAGAGUGAGUGACGGUAACGGGUAAAGAAGCACCGGCUAACUACGUG
rnacentral:rRNA from 1 species